UCUGUAAAUGCCAUGUCUGUAGGCCUCUGUGUUUCACUCACUCUUUGUGUAUUGACCUCUCUUUUGUUUGAGCACCUCCAUAGCACUUUCAUCACCUGUUCGGAUGAACAGACCAACCAGACCCUCAACACUACCAUGGGCAAGUCCCAUGACGUGUACCAGCAAUGGUGGGAAGACAACCUGAAGGUAAUUCUCUUUGCACACAACAGCAGCGUCCAGGCCUCCACCGUGUACUCGCCCUAAUCGCUUACAGUACGGACUGGAGCCACAGCUGAUGAUUGAGGUGAGACUGAAUAUCGACAAGGCGCAGGAGAAACAGAAGCAGAGCUACCGUAGGACAAUCAAGAAAGGGACCAAGUGCUUCGACAUCCGGGCAAACGACUUGGUUUGAAAGAAGGACGAAAGGAAGACGAAACCCCGCUGCUCUUUGGCUCCUGUUGGGGAAUAAUCAGAAUUAGUUGGUAACAUAUGUUACCUCGUUGGAAGCCAACAAUCUUCUCCAGUUGGAACAGUUGGACUGUCGUCCACUGAAAGCCCUGACGCCCUACACUUCGGUAAAGCCCAAUAGACAAAGACCAUCGACUGUCCGAGGCCCGCAGGAGGUAUCCCAUCCACCAGAACCAGACCUAUGGGCUCUGCCUAACAUUCAGACAUGGAUCCACCUCAUGUCCUCCAUUACCAACCACCCUCCAACUUCUCAUUACAUCUACACCUACUGUUAUUGUCAUGUUGUCAUUAUCUGCUAAGAAAGUUGUCUUGCUCUAUCAAACUGGGCACACAAUAUAGUAUGUGAGAUACAAAGAUAAACUAAAAACACUAGCACUGCAAACACUCAGAACAAUGAGAGUACAGCAGUGCCGGGACUUCAGUCUCCCUCUUCAAAUCACCCUUCCGAGACUGGCUGGCUGUUGAGAACAAGCGACAGGCAGAACUUCCCACCCACACAGCAGCCACCUCCUCUCCAUUCCACACACCAGAAUUCAGUAUUUCAGUCUAUGAUACCACGUGAGUGUAAAAAUAAUAUGUGAAAAAAUGUAUGACACAACUGUACCAAAUAAAUAUUAACGUUUAUAUAUUUAAAUCAUAAAUCUUGCCAGGUUGGAUUCCACAGCUGUUUCACAAGGUGUUCAUUGUUCUAAAUGGUAAGGAAUCAUUUGAGGGUAUUUGUUAGUUCAACAUGAUUCAUUGUUGUAUCCUAGGACCUACAAUAGAUACAUAUAUAUUUAAUCACAAGGGUGUACUAAUGAGCUGUGAUGGAACAUUUAUCAUGUGAUGAGAUAGCCUUGAAAAUGUUAAUCUUGUCUUUCCUGUCAUAAAUAAUACUUGGUUCCUGUAUGUGCUUGGUAAAGAUAUGAUGGGCGACAUGACCCUCUCCGUAGGAGCAUCUGGCAGCACACCAAGAAUAUGUUCUAUAAGUUAAGAUAGGAGACGGUGCCAGACACAUACAGGAACCAACCCUAUGUAACUUGUCUGUGCAAGCAGUAUAUAAGACAUCUGACGGGACUGC